AUUGGGAUGACGAUGUGGAUGAGGAGAAGGAGAAAGCCGGUGGUGGAGGUAGCGGCGGUAGUGAUAGAGAGCUAAAAGGGUACUCGAGAAGUGAAGUGACAGUUAUCGAUACGAGCUUUGAGGUGUGGAAGUUUGACAAGUUGGUGUUUAGGAGGAAGAAUAUAUGGAAAGUUCGAGACAAGAAAGGAAAGUCGUGGAGUGUUGGCACCAAGAAAAGGAAGGGAAAUCACUUAGAAUCUGGAAAUGGAGAUGUGGGUUCAAAGAAGAAAGCGAAAACUUCCCACUCCGAGUUCGGCUCAUCGAAGGACUCCAAUGGAGGGGACUUAUUAUUGCCGUCUAAUGAUGGUCAGAAGCCACNAGAAGUUUGUAAAGAUUCACUGGAUGAUCAUUUCCAAGUUCCUAAAAGAAGAUCACCCAAGAAACUGAAAAAGAAUGGCUCAUCUGUUGUUCUUAUAAAAGCUAUACCUACAAGCAAGAAGUGUGGGAGGAGCCUUCACAAGAAUCAUCUCAAUGACUUUCAGAGGCAAUACAAGGCUUAAUAAAUUACUUGUUAACAGAGUUUUCAUAUUGAAAGCAGAAGUAUGCAAUACUAUCCUUUUCCUGGUUACCAUUGCACUGGCUCUGGCAUUUUUUUUCUUUGGGGGUCUACAAUUUACCCAGAAGAGUAAAAAUUGGAGCGGAAAGCGCCACAAACUUAUCG
rnacentral:misc_RNA from 1 species